rnacentral:lncRNA from 1 species
AAGGCCUAAAAACCAACAAAGAAGAUUGAGUGACUCGUUAGUUUGGCAGAAAGCGCGAGGAGACGGGAAAAGUAAAAAAAAAGAAAAUGAUACCGGACGCAUCAGCUGUGUGUGUAAACUGAACCUGAGGAGCGUGCACGUGCUGCAGGUGCUGAAGAGGGACAGAGCGCGAGGGGGAUUUACCGGUUUUAAACCUCACCUCCCACACACAACUGAAUAAACUGUGGUUCCUACACCCUACCCAAUGGAGUGAUUCUUCUGCCUACUGCAGAAUACUAACACAACAA